rnacentral:rRNA from 1 species
AUUGAACGCUGGCGGCAUGCUUGACACAUGCAAGUCGAACGGUAACAGGGUGCUUGCACCGCUGACGAGUGGCGAACGGGUGAGUAAUGCGUCGGAACGUGCCGAGUAGUGGGGGAUAACGCAGCGAAAGUUGUGCUAAUACCGCAUACGUACUGAGGUAGAAAGUGGGGGACCUUCGGGCCUCACGCUAUUCGAGCGGCCGACGUCUGAUUAGCUAGUUGGUGAGGUAAAGGCUCACCAAGGCGACGAUCAGUAGCGGGUCUGAGAGGAUGAUCCGCCACACUGGGACUGAGACACGGCCCAGACUCCUACGGGAGGCAGCAGUGGGGAAUUUUGGACAAUGGGCGCAAGCCUGAUCCAGCCAUGCCGCGUGUCUGAAGAAGGCCUUCGGGUUGUAAAGGACUUUUGUCCGGGAGCAAAUGCCUGGUGUUAAUAGCACUGGGAGCUGAGAGUACCGGAAGAAUAAGCACCGGCUAACUACGUGCCAGCCGCCGCCGUAA